rnacentral:ncRNA from 2 species
CGUCAAAACUCUGGAGAGACCGGUUCAAUCCGGCGCCGAAGGUGCACGAGGCGCGCGACCCGCAGGUCGCGCCUUCCAAACUCUCAGGCAAAAGGACAGAGGGGCACGA